UACAGAGGUCCCAAGCGUUAUCCGGAUUUACUGGGCGUAAAGGGUGUGCAGGCGGACUGUUAAGUGGUGCAUGAAAUCUCCGCGCUUAACGUGGAGAGGCUGUGCCAGACUGGCAGUCUGGAGUACGUGAGAGGGUUGUGGAAUUCCGGGUGUAGUGGUGAAAUGCGUAGAGAUCCGGAGGAACACCAGAGGCGAAGGCGGCGACCUGGCACGUUACUGACGCUCAUACACGACAGCAUGGGGAGCGAACGGG
rnacentral:rRNA from 1 species